CUCCGUGCAGGCCUCCCUGAAGCCUGAACUCCAGUGCUGACAGGCAGGCAGGAAGGAGGGAGGGAGGAUGGCCAGUGCUGGCUGCCCCUGCCCACCACAGCUCUGCCCAGCUUUUGACUCCUCAGGCUUAGUAAUGGAGCAUUUGCAAUCCUCAACUUGAAUGGAAGCCAUGCUGAUGUAACCUCUGCAUGCACAGAGGCCAAAGCACAAGACAAGACCCGGACCAGGCUAUAUGAAACUCUCUUCAACAUGAAGGAACGCUUUGCUCUGCAUUUGAAGAUACAACUCCUGACACUGUGCAGUGGUCCAAGCCAGA